CCUACGGGCGGCAGCAGUGAGGAAUAUUGGUCAAUGGACGCAAGUCUGAACCAGCCAUGCCGCGUGCAGGAAGACUGCUCUAUGAGUUGUAAACUUCUUUUGUAUGGGGGUAAACUCAUACACGCGUAGUGUUUUGUAAGUACCGUAUGAAUAAGGAUCGGCUAACUCCGUGCCAGCAGCCGCGGUAAUACGGAGGAUCCAAGCGUUAUCCGGAUUUAUUGGGUUUAAAGGGUGCGUAGGCGGUCUGAUAAGUCAGUGGUGAAAUCCCGAGGCUCAACUUCGGAAUUGCCUCUGAUACUGUUAGGCUAGAGAGUAGUUGAGGUGGGCGGAAUGUGUGGUGUAGCGGUGAAAUGCUUAGAGAUCAUACAGAACACCGAUUGCGAAGGCAGCUUACCAAGCUGCUUCUGACGUUGAGGCACGAAAGCGUGGGGAGCAAACAGGAUUAGAUACCCGUGUAGUC
rnacentral:rRNA from 1 species